UGAGGAAUAUUGGUCAAUGGGCGGAAGCCUGAACCAGCCAAGUCGCGUGAGGGAAUAAGGCCCUACGGGUCGUAAACCUCUUUUGUCUGGGAGCAAAGCCGGGGACGCGUCCCCGGAAGGAGAGUACCAGAAGAAAAAGCAUCGGCUAACUCCGUGCCAGCAGCCGCGGUAAUACGGAGGAUGCGAGCGUUAUCCGGAUUUAUUGGGUUUAAAGGGUGCGUAGGCGGCCUGUUAAGUCAGCGGUAAAAUUUCGGGGCUCAACCCCGUCUCGCCGUUGAAACUGGCUGGCUCGAGUGUGCGAGAAGUAGGCGGAAUGCGUGGUGUAGCGGUGAAAUGCAUAGAUAUCACGCAGAACCCCGAUUGCGAAGGCAGCCUACCGGCGCACAACUGACGCUGAGGCACGAAAGUGCGGGUAUCGAACAGG
rnacentral:rRNA from 1 species